UGUGCUCUGGCUAUUAAGAAAUAACAGCCCACACGUUUCAAUGUUAUUGAGAUUACAGAUCUCACUGACUGAAGGAGAAAGUGGAGCAAUGAGUGGGCAGGCUACUUAUCAUCUUGUGAGCAGAAGACUGAAACUCCUCCAGCACAAUUGUAAAAGACUAGGUGGUAGAGGUUAGCCAAUUGCUCCAUCACCUUCUACCAAGGGCUUGUGUUAGGCUACCAUUAGAUCACCAAUGCCAUCAUG
rnacentral:lncRNA from 1 species